rnacentral:tRNA from 1 species
AACAAUAUAUUUUAUUUAGGAGAAUGACUAUUCUGCAAAUAGUUGGUGAAAUAUAUAUUUCUAUUGUUA